GUCAACCUACGGGAGGCAGCAGUAGGGAAUAUAGCUCAAUGGGGGAAACCCUGAAGCAGCGACGCCGCGUGGAGGAUGAAGGUUUUCGGAUUGUAAACUCCUUUUGUUAGAGAAGAUAAUGACGGUAUCUAACGAAUAAGCACCGGCUAACUCCGUGCCAGCAGCCGCGGUAAUACGGAGGGUGCAAGCGUUACUCGGAAUCACUGGGCGUAAAGAGCGCGUAGGCGGGAUAGCCAGUCAGAUGUGAAAUC
rnacentral:rRNA from 1 species